CUGAUUAAUUACCCACAUUUUAUUUUUGUACGGAAGUUAAAAACGAACAAGGAAAUUUUUUCUAGAUAAAGUCUCAGUUGUAGGAAGUCAUUGACGGCCAACCAUCUUAUAAGAAACUGACAUUUUUAAGAUGAAGGUGACAAUUGUUGCAAUCCUAGCGUCUUGCAUCGUUUGUUUUGCUCAGACUAACUCUACGACAAAGUCAACAACAAUGCACACCACCACCACCACUAAGACAACGUCAUCUAGUACCGGGAUGUCGAUUACCACAAUACAUCCCAAUACUACAGCGGGAAGUUGGACGAUGGCGCCAUCUGUUUGGAUGAUUACCAUAUUGUCGUCUGCAGUCACCCAGUUCUGUCUAUCUAAGUGAAGAAGAUAUACCAUGUAUUUGACAUUUUCCCCUAUUUUACAAUAUAUUGUAAUUAUUUUCAUUGAUAUUAACACGCAUAACAGUUUCUAAUACAUGAAAGUGUAACAUCUGAAAUACAUUUCAAAUAAUGAAACCAAAUCGUAUUUCUUGAGAGGGUCUGUUGUUGAAGAUAAGGGCGGAUGAUUAUUAUCACGAGUAAUCAAUGAAGCCUUUAUUGCACCAAUACCAUUUCCCUUAUUGUACCCAAUGUCAUUUCCCUUAUUGUACCCAAUGUCAUUUCCCUUAUUGUACCCAAUAUUAUUUCCCUUAUUGUACCCAAUGUCAUUUCCCUUAUUGUACCCAAUAUUAUUUCCCUUAUUGUAUCCAAUGUCAUUUCCCUUAUUGUACCCAAUAUUAUUUCCCUUAUUGUACCCAAUGUCAUUUCCCUUAUUGUACCCAAUAUCAUUUCCCUUAUUGUACCCAAUGUCAUUUCCCUUAUUGUACCCAAUAUUAUUUCCCUUAUUGUACCCAAUGUCAUUUCCCUUAUUGUACCCAAUAUUAUUUCCCUUAUUGUAUCCAAUGUCAUUUCCCUUAUUGUACCCAAUAUUAUUUCCCUUAUUGUACCCAAUAUGUCAUUUCCCUUAUUGUACCCAAUAUUAUUUCCCUUAUUGUAUCCAAUGUCUUUUUUCUGUAUAUGUCAUUUCUGUCUUUAAAAUUAAUUAAAUACAUUACAAGAAAUUACAAAUAAAUGAAGUUGUUAUGGUAUUGUUAAUUAUACACGCAUUUACAAACAAUACGUAUGACUAGAAAAUAGAUAAAGUAACGCUAUAUUUGUUAAUUAAAUAAUAAAAGAUACAUGCAUAAUAUGAUAUAAUGCUGAUGUGACUUAAAACAUUUUAGUUUUUUUUUCGACUAAAUAAAGCGAUCACUGGUUUGUGAAGUUGAUACAUGUUUGUAAGUUGUUAAAAUUAAGCUGACGGUCAAUAAAAUUGAAUAAGGA